rnacentral:rRNA from 1 species
AUUGAACGUUGGCGGAAUGCUUUACACAUGCAAGUCGAACGGCAGCACGGGGCAACCUGGUGGCGAGUGGCGAACGGGUGAGUAAUACAUCGGAACGUGCCCAAUCGUGGGGGAUAACGUAGCGAAAGUUACGCUAAUACCGCAUACGAUCUACGGAUGAAAGCGGGGGAUCGCAAGACCUCGCGCGAAUGGAGCGGCCGAUGUCAGAUUAGGUAGUUGGUGGGGUAAAGGCUCACCAAGCCGACGAUGUGUAGCUGGUCUGAGAGGACGACCCGCCACACUGGGACUGAGACACGGCCCAGACUCCUACGGGAGGCAGCAGUGGGGAAUUUUGGACAAUGGGGGCAACCCUGUUCCAGCCAUGCCGCGUGAGUGAAGAAGGCCUUCGGGUUGUAAAGCUCUUUCGGCCGGGAAGAAAUCGCACGGGCUAAUACCCUGUGUGGAUGACGGUACCGGAAUAAGAAGCACCGGCUAACUACGUGCCAGCAGCCGCCGUAAGAC